rnacentral:rRNA from 1 species
UACGUAGGGGGCAAGCGUUGUCCGGAAUCAUUGGGCGUAAAGAGCGCGUAGGCGGUCCGGUAAGUCCGCUCUGAAAGUCCGGGGCUCAACCCCGGGAGGCGGGCGGAUACUGUCGGGCUAGAGUCCGGAAGAGGCGGGUGGAAUUCCUGGUGUAGCGGUGAAAUGCGCAGAUAUCAGGAGGAACACCAAUGGCGAAGGCAGCUCGCUGGGACGGUACUGACGCUGAGGCGCGAAAGCGUGGGGAGCAAACAGG